rnacentral:tRNA from 1 species
UGGAAUAGCUCAUCGGUAGAGCGCUUGCCUUGAGAGCAAAAUGUAGCGGGUUCAAAUCCCGCUUCCACUC